rnacentral:lncRNA from 1 species
GGGACACAGCCUCUGAGUACCAGGAGCUGCAGAGGGAAAGGGAGGGACAGACGGAGGUGAGAACAUUACAUGAAAGAGAGCAUUUCUCUGAGCUAAGUGAAGACCCGAGCCGGCCAAGCGAGGGGCCCACCGGCUGCAGGCUGGGAACCUGGCGCCACGAAAACUGACACGAGCUCUGCUAAUGAUGGAGGUGUUGCCUGAGUCAUCCAAGCCAACCUGCUGUUUCCUAGACAUGAAAUUGCCGGGUUGCAGGACAAUGAAGCAUUUUGAAUAAGCGCUGCCAAACUACUUCCAAAAAGAGCUGCUGACUUCUACUACAGUACGGGCAUUCCUGUCUUCCCCAUCCCGCUAGGCAGGCUGUGGGAUUUGGGGCAGAGCCAUGGGGCUGUCUGUGAAACAGCUCCCGGUCCUGCACCUGGCUCUGCACUACGAGCGUCAUCCUCACGGCUUUUCCAGGCAUCCUGUGGGCGAUUUAUCUGAGUGUCAACAAAUGGAAAGAGGGUUCUGUGUGAGUUCCUGUCCUAUAGCAUGGAGUGUCAUGUUAAAGGACACUUUUUGUGCCGUUGUCUAAAUACAAAUGGCUGCAGGCAUUGAACUAAUGGACUUUGGACAGAGUCAAGCAACUCCAUAGUGAGGGACGAGGAGGCGACUUCCCCCACCUGGUUCUCGCCCUCCUGUCAGUCCUUGCUGGCCAGGGCCCAGUCCAUCGCAUUCUGCUCACCCACCUAACCUCCGCAGCUGGGCGGCCUUUCAUCCUGCUUGAUUGAAU